rnacentral:rRNA from 1 species
GACAGAGGGUGCAAACGUUGUUCGGAAUUACUGGGCGUAAAGCGCGUGUAGGUGGCGAGGCAAGUCGGGUGUGAAAGCCCUGGGCUCAACCCAGGAAGUGCACUCGAUACUGCCUAGCUAGAGUCCCGGAGAGGUUGGUGGAACUCUCGGUGUAGAGGUGAAAUUCGUAGAUAUUCGCAAGAACACCAGUGGCGAAGGCGGCUCACUGGCCCGAUACUGACGCUGAGGUGCGAAAGCGUGGGGAGCAAACAGG